GGGCCGGGCAGCGCGGUCCGGGGCUCCCCCGCCGACCCCAUCCACCCCCGCCACCGGUAGGCUGGGGACAGCCGCCCUGGGCAGCCCCGCACACACCGGCUCCCGCCGAACCCGAGGAGGCUGCACACGCAGCACAGCGCGGGACCUGAGCAGAGCUGCAGGCACCAACUCCUGGAGGGCGGCACGGGAGCCACGCCCUGUGUUCGCCGGUGAAGAACACACAGGUGUCCUGUUUGGCUUUGAAAGGGCGCGGAGACUGACUGCAGGCUACCACCACUGUUGUCAUCCUCCUGUACUAUGUGGGGAAUUUGCAUCGGUAAGAUACAACAGGUAUGUUUUUCAAGCACCAAAAGAGGAAAUAAUGUCACCAUACACAGUAAAUGCUAUCUUCUCCUACUCUAACUGCACUGCCUGAAGGGUUUCAGAUCAUCUGUAAGCUCAAAGUUCUUAUGAUGAAGGAACAAAUCUCUGCUCUGAACUGUGUUAUCAUCUAAUACUUGAUGUUUACCAGACAACUCCUAAUUUGCUUCUUUGUUAAAGUGGCUAUGAAUGGAAAGGAAAAGUGGAUGAAAUCUUCAAGACUUGAAAUCCACAUAUCCACUCUUGUCCUUCUAAAUUCCUUUGACACUCAGUAGCCAAUGUCAGUAUGUCUGGAGGUGUGUGUGCAAGGAAGACACUGAGAAACACCCGGCAUUGGAGAGUAAUUCCUGUCUUUCAACUUUGACCACAUUCACAUUCCAACACGGACAAUUCCAACCAGUGAACGUGAAACACCUGGGAGAUCAGAGUCCUGUCACACAAAUGCAAUUUUGGGACUGUUCUCCCAAAAGCUGCAUUAUUGCUAGGUGCCUUAGUGGCAGUUCAGCAUGGAUGGAGCUCUAGGUGACCAUGUGGCAGAUACCCAAAGUCCAGGAACUGCACAGGACAGCAGCACGUGGCCAUUCAAACCUCAGGUGGCACUUGGAUGCCUUUGGUGCAUUUGGAAACAGGCUGAAACAGAUCCAAAUGCAUACUCCAACAAGUCUUGCAUUUCCCUCUAGUGGAAGGAGCCUCAAAGACUUCCUAGAAGGCCUAGGUAGAGACACAAGUCCUGCUGUCAGGGAUAUGAAGCAGUCUUGGCUCUACAAGCCUAAAGCUCUAGGAAGAUAAAUCCAUGGAUAACAGAACACAGAAACGGUGGAAGGAUCGGGACCUGAGGAUGCAAUGAAGUGUAGGGAGCAGCCCCCUAAUUAGAGGGACAUUAUUCAAGACCACCCUUUAAUAAAGACUGUGGUGUUUCCUCUCGGCUGGGAGUGCAAUCCCAACCAACUCAAAGUGCAAAGUGAACCAAGUGCUUUGCAGUACGGAAUAGACAUUUGGUAGCAACGCAAAUCCAGAGCCUUCUUUUCUGAAUGACCAGCAGACUGUUUUCCAGGGUCACCAUCCUGAACUUGAAUGUGCAAAAUGCCCACACAGCCUGCUCAAGCAUAGGCUGGGAAGUUCCUUUGACAAAAGGGUACUCCAAAGCCUAGUCCCACCUCAGCACAAGAGCUUCUUGUUGAACAAGCCCUGCAAAAAGAUUCUCUUGAAAAGGCAGAGGGAUGAAGGGGAAUGAAUGCAAUUCAUUCCAGGGAGGAAGGAAAGGCUUUGGAAUCAAGAGCUCUGCAAAAUGAUAACAAGGAGGCUGGGUAAGACAGUGGCUGUUUCAAAUACCUGAUUCCACAGGACAAGAGGAAAUGGCCUCAAGCUACAUCAGAGGAGGUUCAGGUUGGACAUCAGGAAAAAUUUCUUGACUGAAAAGUUUAAGCAUUGUAAUGGGCUGCCCAGGGAAGUGGUGGAAUCAGCAUUCCUGGAAGUUUUCAAGAAACAACUGGACAUGGCACUUAGUGCUAUGGUUUAGUUAACAAGGUGGUGUUCAGUCAAAGGUUCAACUUGAUCUUGGACAACUUUUCCAGCCUUAAAGACUCUAUGAUUGUCCUCUUCAGAGGAAAGGACCCCAGAUAGCUGGCCAGCCUAGUGAGCUGCUCAUGUGAUGCACUGGGAGAAAUCCCACUGGAAAGAGUAGGAGUGUAGGUGACAGAAAAGAUCACUGAUUUUUAGGAUAGGAUAGGCAGAGGCUACCUCAAAAGGAUAGCUACUUAUAGACAUGCAUCUGUACUGGAGUGAAGGAUUUUGUGGUAGGAAAAGUACAAUAAAAGUGUCUAAAAAGCAUGAAGCCACACAACAAGCAAGGUUUUUACCAUCCUCUGACAUUAGAAAUUGACUGAUCUUUCACUAUGAAAACUAUGGAAUCUCCUUGAAGUCAGGUAAGAGAAAUUAGGCAAGAAUAAAUUGAGUAGCAUAAACACUGCUGGCAGCAAGAAUACUUAUCUCAGCUUCCUCCUUGGUCCAGUAUGUUCAUAGAACUACGUAAUUAUUAUCUCAAAUGCUUAGUGUAAAUCAGGCUGCCCCUAAUUAGCACAGGCACUCUAUGUUAAACAAGUCCAGCACCAAUUAGGACAGAAGGAACAAGCGUCAACUCCCACGCUGUAGCAAGGUACAGAUGUGCUGGGCUUGCAGUGCAAUGCCCAUACAACCUUGCCCUACUAUAUUAGAUUGAAAAGGUGCCAUACCAUUGCUGUCACACAGCAAAGAAUUUGAUCUAAAAGAAAAUGCCACCUCUUUGUGCUUACAUCAGUUCACCAGCCAGGCACUGAAGGACACAAGACCACAAAAGUGUGAAAGAAUUUCAGUGUCAAACUUUCAGGGCUGUGCUGAACUGACUAAGCAGCUCCAGAAGCAGAGUAGGUGAGCACAUAAAGCUGACAUAGCAAUGGGAGCCCAGGCAGCUCAGUGCUGACAGAGGAAUGCUGAGCGACAUUAGAGUCACUGUAAGCUGAUACAGCCCAUAACGAGCCACGGCAGUGGAAGGGCACAGAGUAACUUCAGUGCAUUUCCUCCUUACUUUAAGCAGAUGGAUACAAGCCAGAAAAAUUUUCCCUAAAGCAGAGUAGUGUGUCUUCACUCACCAAUUCCGACUGCAGCAGGCACAAAAAUCCAGAAAGUCCACCUUGCACCAGUGACAGGGAAGGUAAAGAUGAGCUGUGUCACAGUGGGAAAGGGGCUGGAUCUGCACUGGGCUGAAUCCAAGGCAGCAAUCAGACACUGGCCAAGCAAAUGCUUGGCUGGUUGGGUAUCUAAGUGGCUGCAAGCCCAAAAGUCUAAAGAACACUGAGUACACAAACAAGCAACCCUGGAGCUUGGGUAGCUCCUCACCUACGAGCAAGCAGUUGCUGCUGUUUCUGAGAUGUGCAGCCUUCUCAAAGGCAACACAGGUACCUAAAGCACAGACCUGAGGGCAAACCUCAGUCUUUACAGUUAAAGAUGCCUUAGGCAAAAGAAGCAAUUCCAAAACACAGGAGCAGUAGCUGUGCAAUAAGCCAAGUGUCAAGUUACAAUUACUUUUCUUCUCAAUGUGUAAUAAAAAUGUCUGAAAUGCCAUACUCAGAGCAGACUGUCUGGUGGCCUAAAAAGCAUGUCCUCUGCAUAUCUCGCAAAAGAAACAAACUUUCUAGUCUCAUGACAGCUUGCAAGUACCCCCAGUUUUAUAACAGAACCAUGGGCUGACACAGGAAGAUAAAAAUUCUUUUAGUUUAAACGAACAUAGAAUUCCAGUGUCUUCUCACUUGCUGAAGGGGAAACACAUUUCAAAGUCCUGAACCAUACCUGCUCACAUCUGAACUGCUGACAAAUCUGCAUUGAGGAUAAGUCAGCUUCUCCACUAUAGAACUUAUUUGCAGUUUAUGUAUCAGAAAACAAGUUGUUCCUUGCUGUAAUGUGUCUAGCCUUUAUCACAGACAGAUCCAAGUAACAGGAUUGCUAUUGCUUCUUCCUUGGCAUGCCUUAAAAGAGCAAAGGCACCUUUCACUCCUCUAGAUCAGAGGCAGCUUAUGCAUUAGACCUUUUAAAAAAAAUAAAUCAAUAAUGUCAAAUACAAUUGCAGUCACAAAAUAACCUUGCAAACUGUGGAGUCAAUUAACAUUCCAACAUUAGAGCCAUCAGUAGAAUAACCCACUGGACAGCAGUAAUUCAUAACAUUUCUUGAAGACAUAAGCUGGAAGCACAAGUUCAAGAUUUUUGAACUGCUUAAGUCUAACUCAACUUUUCAGAAGCAAUUAUCUUCUAAUCUUCCUAACUGUUUCCCCAAACAUUCAGUAAGGAUUACAGACUUACAGUGAGUUUUUCAACAAUGGCUGCUUUGCCCUGGAACUGCUGUCCUUCCCACGUAAGGCAUGAUGCAUCAAUCUGGGGGAAAAAGAAAAAUGUCAAACUUAGGUAGCCCUUAAGCAACCCUGAUAAGAGACUUUAUGUAUUUAGCAGAAAUCUUCAGAAUCCAGGUAUUUGAAAACUACCUCAAAGAGACAUAGAAAGAAACCAGCAAAAUCAAUUGAAGAACUUUGGAACAAUCAACUAAAAAUUAAGUAGAACACAUUGCAUUUACAUAAGUCUACCAGCAAAAAGAAUUCCUGCCUUUGGAUAAAAGUCAGCUUUCAGAAAAAAAAUCUAAAGGAUAAAAAAAAUUCAAAAUUUUGCAGACAAAGUCAAGCAUGUGGAAAAAUAUAUAAAGAAAACUGACAACAUGGGUUACACCACCUGGGUAGUGCUUCAACUCACCCACCUCAAGCAAUUCAAAAGUGACUGGCCAGAUCCCUACCUGAACUAGAUGACAAAAGUCUUAAUUGACUUGGAUUACACCACUAAAGAUAAACUGAAUCUUGUGGUGGAAGUAGUGAUACAGAAAUACAAACCAAAUCUAAGCUCCCUGCUGCAUUCCUGCAUGCUAUAAUAUUUGUUUGCUCCCCCAGGGUCUCUGAAGGGAAAAAGCUCAUCAUUAAAAGCCCAUUUCUACAGAAUCCCCCCAAAAUUCUACAAAUUGUGACCUUGGUGCAUUUCAGCCAUACAAAACAGGGUGUUUUCUCCACAGUUCAGGAGCUGCACAAAACAACACACAUCAGUGACCUGCAUAAUAGUUCUCCCAGUUAUAUGUGCAUAGGACUCUUCAUUGAAUGAUGAAGGCAGAAAAACCCUCAAGGUGAAAAAAGCCAGGAGUUCACUGUGUGGAAGGGCUUAAAUCCAGGAACUUAAAUUAGUCUGUACUCAACACCACUUUGAACGUACUUGGUAAUAAAAUACAAACUACUAAGAGCCUCCAUACUUAGUGCUGUGGUUGGAACACAAACUGCUUGGUUUUCUUUCUCUCUAGGCUCUGUGCACAACUUCUUGGGCAAAGUCAACCAACAAUCUGGCAGGUAGCAAGUACACAAAAAUCCCAAGAGCAAAUGGUAUCAUGCUGCUGGAUACUGCUGAGGUAUAAGGAGGGGUGUCAGAGGGUAUUGAACCAUUUAGAUCCUCAAGAGCUUGCUGACACUUCAGCUCAUCUAGCAGAUGAAAAACCAGCCAGAAAAACAGGAUAUGCUGCUAGAAGACUUGUCAGCCUUGAACCUCUUGCUGCAACUCCUCAGCCACCCAGCAGCAUUCCUCACCAUCAGCAAUCAACUCCACACACAGAGCACUUUGCGUGCUCUGGAGGAAUCUUCCCCCAAAACUAAAAACUGAUGUUCCUUGGGUUUGUUAAUUACAGUUUUUAAUUCUGGUAUCCAAGUCUUCUUCAC